UUAAUUAUAUGAUGCGACUUUACUGCCCCAGUCUGAGAACUAUGAUUGAUUCAGUCCUCUGAAAUUUU
rfam:Camponotus floridanus CamFlo_1.0_1.contig7503, whole genome shotgun sequence.